rnacentral:rRNA from 1 species
GACGAACGCUGGCGGCGUGCUUAACACAUGCAAGUCGAACGGAAAGGCCCUGCUCUUGUGGGGUGCUCGAGUGGCGAACGGGUGAGUAACACGUGAGUAACCUGCCCUUGACUUUGGGAUAACUUCAGGAAACUGGGGCUAAUAUCGGAUAGGAGCUCUUGCUGCAUGGUGGGGGUUGGAAAGUUUCGGCGGUUGGGGAUGGACUCGCGGGUUAUCAGCUUGUUGGUGGGGUAGUGGCUUACCAAGGCUUUGACGGGUAGCCGGCCUGAGAGGGUGACCGGCCACAUUAGGACUACGAUACGGCCCAGACUCCUACGGGAGGCAGCGGUGGGGAAUCUGACGCAAUAGGCGGAAGCCUGAUGCAGCAACGCCGCGUGCGGGAUGCCGGCCUUCGGGUUGUAAACCGCUUUCGCCUGUGAUGAAGCGUGAGUGACGGUAAUGGGUAAAGAAGCACCGGCUAACUACGUG